rnacentral:rRNA from 1 species
UUGAUCCUGGCUCAGAAUGAACGCUGGCGGCGUGCUUAACACAUGCAAGUCGUGCGCGAAAGUGGCUUCGGCCAUGAGUAGAGCGGCGAACGGGUGAGUAACACGUGGAUAACCUGCCUCGGUGCGGGGGAUAACCCGGGGAAACCUGGACUAAUACCGCAUGAGCUGCCCGGGCUACGGCCUGGUCAGGAAAGCUGGCCUCUGCUUGCAAGCUGGCGCGCUGAGAGGGGUCCGCGGCUGAUUAGCUAGUUGGUGAGGUAACGGCUCACCAAGGCGACGAUCAGUAGCCGGCCUGAGAGGGUGAACGGCCACACUGGGACUGAGACACGGCCCAGACUCCUACGGGAGGCAGCGGUGGGGAAUAUUGGACAAUGGGCGCAAGCCUGAUCCAGCAACGCCGCGUGGAGGAAGAAGGUCUUCGGAUCGUAAACUCCUGUCAGGAGGGGCGAAGGGCCGUUGGUUAAUAGCCGGCGGUCUUGACGGUACCUCCAGAGGAAGCCCCGGCUAACUCCGUGCCAGCAGCCGCGGUAAUACGGAGGGGGCGAGCGUUAUUCGGAAUUAUUGGGCGUAAAGGGCGCGUAGGCGGCUUCGCAAGUCAAAGGUGAAAUCCCUCGGCUCAACCGAGGAACUGCCUUUUGAAACUGUGUGGCUUGAGGCCGGGAGGGGGCAGUGGAAUUCCCCAGUUGUACGGUGAAAUGCGUAAUUUUGGGAGGAACCACACCAUGGCGAAAGGCGGCUGCCUGGAACCGGUUCUGACGCUUAUUGCGCCGAAAGCGUUGGGUAGCAAACCAGGAAUAAAUACCCUGGUAUCCACCGCUGUAAACAAUGGUACUCCGGUUGUCCGGGUUAUUGACCCCCCGCGGUNCCCUUACUACACGCGUUAAGUUCACCCGCCUGGGGAANUCCNGUCCAAAGGCUGAAACUCAAAGGAAUUUGACGGGGGCCCGCACAAGCGGUGGAGCAUGUGGUUUAAAUUCGAUGCAACGCGAAGAACCUUACCUGGGCUUGAACUGUGCGGACCGUCCUAGAAAUAGGGCUUCCCCUUCGGGGGCUGCCAUAGAGGUGCUGCAUGGCGUCGUCAGCUCGUGUCGUGAGAUGUUGGGUUAAGUCCCGCAACGAGCGCAACCCCUAUCCCUAGUUGCCAUCGGGUCAUGCCGGGAACUCUAGGGAGACUGCCCCGGAAAUCGGGGAGGAGGGUGGGGAUGACGUCAAGUCCUCAUGGCCUUUAUGUCCAGGGCUACACACGUGCUACAAUGGGCGGCACAAAGGGCUGCGAACCCGCGAGGCAGAGCUAAUCCCAAAAAUCCGUCCUCAGUCCGGAUUGCAGUCUGCAACUCGACUGCAUGAAGUUGGAAUCGCUAGUAAUCCCAGAUCAGCAUGCUGGGGUGAAUACGUUCCCGGGCCUUGUACACACCGCCCGUCACAUCACGAAAGUCAGUUGUACCGGAAGCCGGCUGGCACCAACCUUCGGCGAGGGNCCGUCGAUGGUAUGGCUCGGCGACUUGGGGUGAAGUCGUAAACAAGGUAGCUGUAUGGAGAACCUGUGGCUGGAUUANAUCC